rnacentral:lncRNA from 1 species
GUAUUAGUAACUUAUUGGGACAGACAGGUAGUAAGAUGGGUUUGAACCUAUUAGCUAGUUAAUUGUCAUUCAUUCCCAUGAGGAACCAUGACUUCUUAUGCUGUAGUAAUAGAUUAAUAAAGGCUGUCACAUUUAUUAUUUAUUAUUAUUAAAUAUUAUUAUUAUUAUUAUUAAUCAUAUUAAUAUUAUGUAUUAUUAUAAAAAAUUAAUGAAUGCAAUUAAUUUGUAUUUACUUCCUGUGUGGGUACUGAACAAUGACAGUAAAGAUGGAGAUGGACAGUGAAGGGGUUCUGUGUGCGUGUUUACACAGAGAGUGGAUGUGAGGGGUGAUUUAAAUACACACAUUACCAUGUUGAAUGUGUUCUUGGGUGUCAUCUGAAUUAGUCGAGUAUUUUUUUUAAAUGAAUUUUUUAAAAAUGGUAUUCAUUUUUAUAUAAUUGCAAGCAUUAUUUGCAGAUUUGACAGAGUUGCCUUCAAAUUCAUCCCCAAACAAUGAUUCACCCUCUUCCUCAUCCUCAUCCUCUUCCUCAUCUUCUUCCACCGCCUCAUCAUCACUUGUAAGCAACGUACUGACAACCACCCAGUUGAAUGGCCGGAGGAAGCGAGAUGCAAAUUCUGAUGUGGAAGGACUCUUAAAUCAAAUGAAAUCCAAUUUGAAUGAUCUUAAUGCCAUUAUUCAGGUGAGUAAAAAAUUACUUCUUGACCACAUUAAACAGCUUCUCUCUAUGUGGUGUGGGAGACGUAUAAAAAGAUGAAUCAUUGUGUCAGUUUUAUCUUUAUGUUUAUACAUACCCCCCUGACAUUCUGACAUUCAAAAACAAAACAAAAACAAAUCAGCGACCAAUAUAGCCACCUUUCUUUGCAAGGACACUCAAAAGCCUGCCAUCCAUGGAUUAUGUCAGUGUUUUGAUCUGUUCACCAUCAACAUUGCGUGCAGCAGCAACCACAGCCUCCCAGACACUGUUCAGAGAGGUGUACUGUUUUCCCU